UGGACAUGUUGUCCGAGUGCAGGAGGAACUCAAUGAUGAAUGCUUAAGCUUUAAUAACUUUGAACUCGUUCUUUAUCUGAUUGUUAGAAAAGAUUGAGCUGGCAAGUGAAUUUGGUUCUUGAUAUACCUUGCCUCCAAUAAAUAUUGGCUGAAGCCUUCAGUAUUGGACUUUUAUGGACCUGUCCAUGACCAGUUUUAUUUCAGUUUGCUUUUAUGCUAUCGUAUGCUACAUUUGGCUUCAUUGAUUAUUAUAUCCAUUGUUCAAGAUAAUAUAACUCCAAGGUCUUGUGUGAGUGUAUAAUUUAAUUGACUAAGAAG
rnacentral:misc_RNA from 1 species